UACAGAGGAGGCAAGCGUUAUUCGGAAUUAUUGGGCGUAAAGGGCGCGUAGGCGGCUUUGCAAGUGACGGGUGAAAUCCCUCGGCUUAACCGAGGAACUGCCUGUCAAACUGCAUGGCUUGAGACCGGGAGAGGUGAGUGGAAUUCCCAGUGUAGCGGUGAAAUGCGUAGAUAUUGGGAGGAACACCAGUGGCGAAGGCGGCUCACUGGACCGGUACUGACGCUGAGGCGCGAAAGCGUGGGGAGCAAACAGG
rnacentral:rRNA from 1 species